UUGUGUUUGAGGUGCAACAUCGAACAUGGGUGCUUGGAUUUGUUUCCACCCACAUUCAACUGCUAUCGAAUAUCACCUGCAAUUCAUAUGAAGUACUACAUAAAUCCCCGGCAAGCCUAUGUAGAAGUUUUAAUAAAAUCUAAUAUAACAUUGGGUUUUACUAUACAAAUAAGUGAUGAAUAUUUGAGAAUGAAGAAACGAGUACUGAUGUGGCAGCUGUUCUUCAGCAUUUUUUCCCUCAAUUAUAAUGGUUAAAAUUGGAAUUAACACCUACUCAUCCAAAUCAUUCUGCGAUACAUGGAUAGUUGUUGACUCGGUGUUCCUCUGUCCGAUCCCGAACAAGAAGGAUGCCAAUCGUUAUUAUUAUUAUUAUUAUUUUAAACAUGGCCGUAGGAGAAAUCCUAAUUUUUUUAUUUUUUCCAAUGACUUCUUCAUAUAAUUUAAAAUUCAUUUGAUUUAAGAAAUUUUUUUCCAUCAUUAUUUUUUGAAAAAUUAAUUUAUGUCUAAAAAAAUAGUUUUGAUAUUUUUAAUGAAUAAUAAAAAAAUAAUACAAUUCAGAGUGACUUAUAUUUAGUUGAGCAUUUAUUUUUUAAAAAAAUAUAUAAAAUAUCUACCAUAUAAAUGGUAAAAAAAAACAUUAUCUAGGCUUUAUAAUAUUUUUAGAGAAAAAGAACUUUAAUUUUCAAUCCAUAAAAAAAUAGGUCUUUUAUCCUUUAUAAAAUUUUCUUUUUAAUAAAAUAUAAAAUUUUUAUUUUUAUAAAAAAAUAUUAUUUUUUAUUUUUUUUAAAAUUGUAAGCAAAUAAAAAGUACUCUGUUGUUUUUCUGUUAACCGCACCUUCUUUUUCCGUGGACCAAACGAGUACUCACAUAAAUGUGCGAAGAGACACGAAUGACCUCCGCCCGAGCGCGAACGGCGGGAGAAAACCCAACCUUUUUCUGUUAAAAAUUUAUUUGAAAUGACAUUUUAUAUAAUUCGUAAAAAUAUUUUGGGAGAUGAUAGAACUGAAGCACACAGAGAGACAGAGAGACAGAGAGACAGAGAGGCUAUAAAGGGGCACCUGGGGGCCUGACUCCCGACGCGGUCCUCUCCACCCUCGAAAUCUAAACCUAAUGGCGGAGCCCCUGCUUUUGGAUGGGAUUCCAAACUCUCCUCCGGCCGUCGAAGCCAAUCCGGAAGUGAUCUUUUGAUACCCUGCUCUUUGAUCGCUUUGAAGUCUUCUAUGCGAUUUUUUUUUUUUUACGCUGAAAAAGAAGUCUGCUUCUUUGUGAAUUGAUCAAUGGAUGUACUUGGAUAACCCUAUUCUGCACAUUGUCUUAUGUUUCUCAGGAUCUUAUUCCAGACACAAAAGUGGGCACUGGCCUAAAUAUUUUCGCCUGUCCUGUUUGUUAUCAUUCGUUCAUCGAUCAAAGUGAUUCAAGCCUAAGCAUGUAAGAAAUAACUAUUGUAAAUUGUUCUGCUACGUUUUUAGGAUUUGAAAUCAGAUGCUACUUGUCGUCUCGCUGGAUUUUUUUCAUUCUGAAGUCCAUUAGAUCGUGUAGACAUGACGCUUCUUUAUAUGUUUUAUUGGAUGGAUUUCUUGCAGAACAUCCCCAGCUGGGUCUUGUUUCGAAUGCCAUGCUUGCAAGAAAGCCUACCUCAACAACGGAAUAUAUCUUGAUCUCACAAUAGCCGGUGGCUUAAGGGAGUAUGAUCAAACUUUACCAUUCUUGACAAAAUUCUUUAGGUAAAUAUCUACCUUCCAAUAUUGCUUCAUUCAUACUUAUCUCUAUGCUUAAAUGACGGAAUGACAAUAGAAUUUUGUAGGUUUUCCAUCUCUUCGUUUCUAGAUCUGUUAACAGAGUUACGUAAUGGAACCUUAAUAUGAUCCAUAGAAAAAGCGUUUCCCCCUGGCAAGCUGCUCUAAGUUCUCUGAAGAGCACAUUAUUUCUAUUUAAAAAGAUGUGAUAUUAUUUGCAUAGUUUUAACAUAAAAGCCAGAAUCACACAAACUUGAAUUUAACGAAACUUGAUUGCCAUGGUUUGUUGAAUUAUUAAGAAAGGUCCAAAUUAAAACCUUUGUUGCAAUUGCAGGAAAUCUUGCCUUCAUCUUCCAUCUGCCAAAGAUGGAUCUUCUGGGAAAAACAUCCAAUCUUGGUAAUUAGAAAGCAAGAGAAAGUUUGGUUAGAAUUACAGUAGGCUUCCCUUUCUAAGGGACACUGACGAAACAUAUGACGCCAUAAUCUCUUCUCUGUCGUCAUUUCCUUUCUUGAAAUGUUCUAAUCAAGUUCCUUUGAAUUUUAGACUGACUUAAAAACAAUUUAUACUUGUGGUUUUGGCCUCAUAUAGUUUGCAUUUGAAUGCCUAUCUUUUGCACUUCUCUUUGUACUGCUAUGUGUAUAAACAUGCAAGCAUUACUUGCAAAUUUCUUUUUAGAAGUCAAUCUUUAUUAACAGCCGAAAUUAUGUUAUUGAUUUUGAUUCAGCAGAAAAUCUUAUUCAGCAUUAGAUACUAUUUCAUGCAAAAGUACAUUUCCUCUUCUACCUGCGCAAUUAUAUAUCAGAAUAGAAGUCUUUCAGAAUUAUCCAUGAGGUUACAUUGUAAUAAUUCAUCCCUGGUGGUUUUACUGGCUAGAAGACUGGUCUUAUAAUGCUUCUAUGUUUGAAAACCGUAGAUUGUUCCUCCAAGUAGGUUAUAACUGAUUCCGUAUAUUUUCAUAUCUUAAACUGGCAUCCUUUAGUACUGGUUAGAUUUAAAUUUCAGGAUAGUGAUUUGCAUCUAGAGAAAUUUCUGGGUGUUUAGUACUAUAAAAAUGACUAGAAAAGAAGAAAGUAAGUAGACACCUUGUUUAUUAUGCACACCAUAUGAUAGAAUGAUCUCUUGUAAAAAGAUGGUGAAAAACUCCAUUUGCAGAGAACAAUCUUACUGAGCAAUAGACAGUUGAAAAGCGUAAAGCUGAUUGUAUAUGAGCUGGAAUUUCUCUAUGCAUUCUUACAGAUUGUUAACUGCAACAGGGGCGCAUUGAUCUCAUAUCUUUAUGAGAGAGGAUGGCGACAAAGUUUUAGAUGGGGUGGUUUCCCUGGCCCAGAAAGAGAGGUUUCAUGAAUUGUUUCUCGAUCAUAUUGCUGUUCUAGAGCAGUUGUGAACUGUUUCAUCUCCAGAUUUCACUUUUCCUUUCUUUCACCCUCUUUUAGCAUGUUUUCUUUUUAUGCAAUGCAUAUAGUUGCAAUUCGGGAUUGGUUUUAUGUCUUAGAAGAGAAACUCAUGAAAAGUUAGGGAAAUUGUAUUCUGAAAUAUCAAUGAGAACCUGAUACUAUUGCAAUGCUCUACAAUUUCUCUAAAUGCAGCUUGAAAUGGCUAAAUAUUACCUGAGACCUGCAAAAGGAGGAACUAUUGUUGAUGCAAGUUGUGGAAGUGGCUUAUUUUCAAGGCUAUUUGCCAAGAGUGGAAUAUAUUCUCUUGUUGUUGCUUUAGACUUCUCAGAGAAUAUGCUGCAGCACUGCAAUAAAUUUAUUAAGCAGGAGGGAAUUUCUAAAAAGUAUGAGUUCUUUUCUUUGGGCAUGACCUGAUUUUCUUAUACAUAGAUUGAGAUCAUGGUAUGCUGAACUAGCCCGUACCGGUCCGGUCCUUGACCGGUAUGGUAUGGCGGUGAAAAAACGGUUCUGGCCCCAUCGCACCAGUACAAAUCCGGUAUAAAACGAAUCGGACCAGUUCGCAUCGGUACAUGUCCGGCACUAUUUUGUAUCGAUGCAAAUCGGACCGGUUCGCACCUAUACGCCUUCGGAUAAAUGCCACGGAAUGCCAUUCUGUGACAUUUUUUUUUAAUGCCACAGAGUGGCAUUUAUUGCCACGUUGUGGCAUUUUUUUUUAAUGCCACAGAGUGGCAUUUAUUGUCACGUUGUGCCAUUCUGUGGCAUUUUUAAUGCCACGGCAUUAAAUGCCACUCUGUGGCACUUUUAAUGCCACUCUGUGGCACUUUUAAUGCCACUGAAUGCCACUUUGUGGUAUUAAAAAUGCCACAGAGUGGCAUUAAAUGCUACUCUUGGCAUUGUCUACAGUGCGCCGCAUGCUAUUGCCGUUUCAGUACUGGUUCAACCGGCACCGAACUAGUACCAAACCAGUCCGGUAGGCGACCGGUACGCCUACUGGUACCGGUUCAGCAAUUUUUGAUUGAGAUAAUUAUGGACCUUCAGAAUUGUAUCACAUAAUGUCUUGUUUCUGAGGAUGCUAUUGUUUUAUAGGGAUCUGAUUUAUUUUUAUUUUUAUUCUUAUUCUUUUUCUGUGGAAGAAACUUGAUCUUGGUCAGGGCUGACAUCUGUAGACUUCCAUUUGUUUCAAGUUCCAUUGAUGCUGUGCAUGCUGGUGCCGCACUACAUUGUUGGUCUUCGCCAUCUGCUGCUGUAAGAAUACUCCCAGAAUUUCUUUUUUUUUUUUGAGAAAAAUAGUGGAGAUGCCACCACUAGCAUUUGGACCCUAGACCACUCACAAAUGGAGAGGUUUGCAACCAGCUGAGCAGACACUGGUUGGCUACUUUCUACUGAAUUUCUGUCACUGAUAAAGCUGAAGUAAGGAACCUGAGUUUUAUAGUCUAGAUUUUGUAUAGGAGCUUAAGCAGUUCUAUUAACACAUAUAUUAUAUGUGCAAGAAGAUGUCCACUAAAAUUUUGUGUAGCAGCAAAGUUUCAUUAAACAACAAACAGAAUGGAGAAAAUAUUUUUUUUGAUGAAACAGAAUGAAGAAAAUACUGCAAUUUGUUUUGUAUAAAGUUUCACUGCUGAAAUAUUCUAGUCUUAUGAAAAGCUUCAUGGAUUAGAAGAUACACCCUUAGUCUUCCAAAAAGCUUCAUGAAUUAGAGAUUCAUUGAGCACCAAUGAAUGUUGAUUGGUUGGUUUUUCCAUUGAUUGGUCUGUGUGAAAUAAGAAAAGGCACUGGUCAAACCAUAGAAGCUUGCCUCACAUUUUGCCACAGAUCCUAGAUCCAAUAUCAGUUCUGCAUUUUGCUGCCGUGAUCCCUCUAUUGGCCCCUUACUCUGUCUUUGCUAAAUACUGAAGAAAACCAGAGUUUUAGUCACUUCACCAUCUCUGAUGAAUUUUGCAGCAUGACCCUUUACCUGUAUAAUUUCAAAUUUUUUAAUUCUCAACUUGUAAUAGAAAAAGCUCACACGAUUAUUUAUAUGCUCUAUCAUCUUGACCUAGAAACCUCGAAACAUAUCCGAUACAGUGUAGCUCAGUCCUCUCUGUAUGAGCUUAUUUCACUUCCAAAUUCAUAUAGGAAGCUUAUAUGGAUAUUAUUCCUGAUUCAUGAAGUUUCUUCUUGUAUUUUUGGUGAUGUAGAUGUCUUCUUUAUAGCAAAACUGAGUGUUUUUAACACCUGGAUGCUUGUUUUUGGGGUUUCAAGUUAGCUUUCUAAUCUAAUAAUUUAGAUUGUAGUUUUGAAAAAUAGAGAGUAUCAUAAGUCUCCAUUAUAUACAAAUAUUAAUUUUUUUCCAAUAGAAAUUUUAGUGGGUUCUUUCUAAUUUCUCAAAAAAAAAUCCCAGUUCGGUUCCUUCCUUUUUCUAAAAAAAAUAUAUAAUAAAUUUACAUGCAAACAAAAGGGAGUGCACUCCUCUGAGUUGGAUUUUCCUUCUCCUAGGUCGCAGAAAUAAGUCGAAUACUCCGCCCUGGAGGUGUAUUUGUCGCCACAACAUUCAUUUUUGAUGUCAUUCCCAUUGCUGUUCCAGUCUUGAGGAUGCUACGCAAGGUAAUGCUUUCAUUCAGUUUUUAGGAUGUACUGCUUCUAUGUUGAGCAUGAAACUCAAAACUGUAUGGUUACCAUCGCAAAUGACAUGGGAUUUGGCAAUUAUAAAGUAGUAUCAUUAUAUGUGAAGAUCAGAAUAUUGGGGCUGUAGGUAGCAGAAAAGGAAGCAAUAACCCCCUAUUCAUUGUGUAUUGUGAAACAUGCUGAUCUCAUUACGCUAAAGCUGCAGCUACAAUAAGAUGAAGGCUUCAAGAAGCCUUUUCUUUUUUCAAAUAAAAGAAAAUUACACAUUAGCCAUCAUGAUUUUAAACAGGCAGAUUCUUGCUGACAGCGUUAUGAUUAGCAUAUUAUAUCAACAAAAAAAAGAAGAGUAUGCGCCUUCAAAUGGCUCAGUUGAGUUUUGAGUCCUGAAAGAGUUAAGUUCAAUCACCAUCAGGAUUGGAUCAGGAAUGAUCUGUUGUCCUUUUUUUUUGGUGAAAUUUAUUGUCCUUGACAUCUGAUGAUUUGCUUUCUUUUUGCAGUUUUACAUUGGAAACUCAAGCAACUAUAUUUUUCUGUCAGAAGGUGAACUCAAAGAUCUUUGCGAAGCAUGCGGCCUAGUAGGUGUUACAUGCAUCAGGCACCGUCUCUUUGUUAUGAUCUCUGCCAUCAAACCAAACUAAUCAUCCAGUUGAUCUCAAGCACUAUGUUUAUCAUCAGUACCCAUUUAUCUCCAUCACAAAUCACUUCGAAGUCGCAUUGUUGUUGUUUGUUUGUUGUCUUUCUAGGAAACUUAAUGCUGAUUAAUUUAUCACUACCGCAAGAGAUGGUCACAACCCAUUUCAUCUGCAUCUUGUCUUCAAAAGACAUGUUUAUGUUGAUGAGUAGGAUGUAUUGAUAAGGGAUUUCGAUGCGUUGUUUGAAGGGUAAUAAACAAGGAUUAAUUAAGGUAUGCAGCUGUUUGGUUCUUUAAGAGCUUCAAGUUUUAUCUCUGCCUUUUCUUAAUUGCUGUCGAGAGAAAAUUCUAGAUGGCAGUGCCAAGCUUGAAUAAUAAGGAUGCCAGGUCCACCAAAAGCCUCUUUUAUUACACCUCAGAGUGUGAAUUAAAUUUUGAUUCAGAUAUUUGUCAGUUUCUGCCACGUUUCUUGAUUAAUAAGGAUGUCAGGUGCACCAAAAGCCGCUUUAAUUAGACGUCAGAAUGUGAAUUGAAUCCUCAUUCAGGUAUUUGCCAGUUUCUGCCACAUUUCCUGCAAGUAAUGUCGCUGGUGUACUGAGAAAGUUAUUGCAAAAUAUAUAUAUAUAUAUAUAUAUAUAUAUNNNNNNNNNNNNNNNNNNNNAAAUAAUAUAUAUAUAUAUAUAUAUAUAUAUAUAUAUUGGAUCUAUCCUUGUUUCAUCUUGACCCAAGGCCAAAAGUUCUGAACAUGGACAAAAUUACAGCCAUGCUUGACAAUUAUGCAUAUACACUUACCUUGUUUUUAACCCUAUAUUGUAUUUGAAAUAUAAUAAUUUUAUGCUUCAUUUUACUUCUUUUGCCACCAAGCAGGGCCAAUUUGUUUGCACAAACCUACACUCUCUCACUGAUAUGUGAAGCCCAUUUCUGAGAAUCGCGUCGCAUGCCUUUCAUCACCAUGAUAACCAAGUCACAUUUGCUCUUUAGAUCGCUCCCUGUAAAGAGAGAUGGUUUCAGAAACUGGUAAUAUAAAUUGUCAGCAUCAUGAUCUGAUAAUAAAAUCAAGCUGGAUGGUAUAGCUACUCAUUCCUUUUUUUUUGAUGUUACAGUUACAUCAAGAUUAGAUACAAUUACCACCUUCUUGUUGCCUUACAUUAGGGGUUAAAACCUUUGGCUUUCAAUUCUUUUAUCUACUUGUCGUUUUGCAACGAUUUGAAAUCGAGCUGUUCUCUCAUAGCAUCUGGGUCUUGUUGCACAUCAAGUGAUGAACUUUAUUAAUGGUUGAGUGAAAACUCAUGUCAAAUAUCUAAACUAAUAUAGUAUAAUACUUAUCAAUUUAGACAAUAUUUAUUUAGUUUAGAUAUCAAAUAUUGGUUUAGAUAGAGUAUAAUACUUAUUUUUUUUAGAUAGAUAAUAUUCUUGUGUAUUAGUUAUACUUAUAUCAAUUAUAUAAGUAUAAUUAGUACUUAUAUAGUUGAUACUUAAUAUUGAUAAUAGUAAGAUACUUUAUUAUCUAUUACUUAUACUCACUUAUUAAGAGAACAGAUAAAUAAUAGUCACUUGUAACAAAUACCUACUAAAAAAUGAUUAUUAUAGGCUUAUCUUCCUCUUGUACCCGCUAUAAGAGCAAAUGACAACCAUUAUUUACUACAAAUAUAUUAUUUUUUAUAUUUUAUAUGUAAAACUAUUAUUAUGAUAACUAUUAUAAUAGUAAUGGGUAAUAAUAAAAAAUAAUAAUACUACUUUUUAAUCACUUCUCACUUGAUAAAAAUAUUAUUUCUCAAACUAUAUAAUUUUUUUCAGAGAUUGAUGCAAAAAAUUGAACUUUGAAAAAAAUAUUUAGUUAAAAAAUCAUGCAAAUGAAAAUAAUAUCAUUAUUGAUAUCAAAACUAGGUAUUGUAAUACUAAAUAUGUGUUAUUGAAGAUUCAUUUAUCAAAAAUAAGAAAUUUAUUCCAACAAGAUGAAUAGUAUUGAGAUUUUAUAAUUUAUUAAGAGCAAAAAAAAAUUCAUCAAUAUAAUCACUUCUCAUCAAGAAUAGGAACUUUGAUAAAUAACCAUAAUCAUUUUAGAUAUAUAUAAUAGACCAUUUAAAAUAAAAAAUAUAUUAAACAAGGGCCCCAUUUAUUAUCCAAAAUAAAAAUAAUAUUAAUAACAUUACUAAUAUGGCAUCUAUAGGAUGAAGCCAGAGCUCGGCACAAGCUAGACCUCUAUUUUAGUUAUAUAUAAUAAUAAAUUUAAGUUAAUUUAACCAAAUUGCAAUAUCAUAUGCUUAAAUUUCUAGAGAUUUUAUGGCCUCUCCCUCUUUCUUCUUUAAAAUCCAAAUUAAUGCCCACAAAUCAUCCUGGAACAAGCAGGAACCAAGGAUUUCAUAAAUGUAGCUCAAUUCUGUGAAAUAGCACUAUCGCUAGUUAUAACCGUUGGCUUGGUUUAAGUUCACAUAUUUUCUUGUCCACAAAAUCAGAGAUUUGUACGAAAAAUCUUCAAGUAGCUCGAUGACGCAGUUCGCCAGAAAAGAGAAAGAAACAGUUUGCAACAUGCACAGAGAAUUUAGCAUUUCAAAAGUUACCAACUACCCGAGCAAUCUUCUUACAGUUAAGCAGAUUCUGUUUAAUGCCUCUUUCCUUUUUUUUCCAAAAAAAAAACCAAGAACUUUCCUUAAAAAACAACUAAAAAUAAUUCAAAACCACCAAACAUCAGUUAAAUCUUCCAGCAGCUUGUUGUCUAUCAUUUUUUCGAGGGAAGCCUGUUGUCAAUCAAUUGGAAAUGUAUACUUCCUAAAAGAAUCAAUUCCAAGUCCAAGAUAACAUCUAGUCUCUGAGGCAGACACCAGGCUCAGAGAGACCACAUUGGUAGUGUAAGGAAGCAUUCUUGCAUACAAGAUUGGUCAAUAGCUGUGUAGUGCACAACUUUUCCUUGAUCUGUAAAUUAGUGCACUCCGAAGAAAAGUUCAAUUCUUGAGUCGCAUCAACCUGAGGCCACAAGAGUCUAUUAUGGAAGCAUUACAUUAUCAUCCACUCCAUCCUGUUAAUGAUCAUGUUUGUUAAGUUGUUAGUUGCAAUAUUAUGCCGGGAUUCUUACCUUUUACCAGAAUACAAACCCUAUCACCGGGCUCAACAUUGCCGUUCUCCUCCUCCAGAGUUACAGGGCUAUCAGAUGACAUCUUCUUAUCUCUUUCAGCUUUCAUUUGAUAUUCCCACUUGAUGGGAAAGCAGCAUUUUCUCAGCAUUAUCAUCAUUGUCGUCAUCAUCAGUUUCAAAAUCUUGAUCUCCAUAAAAUACAUGGGUCACUUUCCUUUCUCUGUCAUUCAACUCCGACCUAGAACGUUGGAUCCUAGAAUGAUGUCCCACUAAACCAUAGUUUUCCAACUCAUUUUUCUCCAUUUCUGAUGCUUUUAGAGAACCCAUCCGCACUCUUCCUCUGUCCCUAGGAUAGGUAUGGUACAGGAAGGAGUAGAUGAAGCAACAAAGUGACAUAGGAAUUGCUAUUGCAGUGCAAAGUGCCUUGGCUAGAGAGGCAGCAUUCUCUUUGUCUGUUUCAACACUAGUUCCCUCACCUGGCGGUUUAUACCCAUAAACAUACUCAGCUAAAAUGCCCACAACAGGAGAAGCGAAUGAAGAUAGUAUAGACUCGAAGAAUCUACUCAGAGCAUAUAUGCUUGUUCUUGAUUUCUCGGGGACGAUCUCUGCAAAGAUGGGACUGCAAGCAUUAUAAAGCAAAGUAAUUAAAAUUCCAAGGCUAUAAUUCUCUCACUGCUCUAGAGAUAAGUGCAGCACUAAAUUAAAACUGCAAAUGGUAUCAAAUUUACAUCUUAGUAAUGGUCGAGACUUGAGAGUUUAUGUACCAAUCCCUUUCUUAUUUAAUGAAAUAAUUAAUGGAGCUAGUAGUUAUGCUGAAUUUUAAAUGAAGAUGCAUUCUCAUGAUGAAGAUCUUACAAGUACCUGCCAAAAUUUUGCAAUUAUGAUUGACUUGUAACACACAAAGAAUGAGUUCAGAUAUUGGGUUCGUUUCACAAUGAGUAUGAGAUUCACUAUGUUUUAAUUCUGUUCUGAGAAAAUUGUAUGGAAGAACAGAAUUAAUUGUUAGAAACUGAAGUCAUUAAUCAGUGCUUCAAAGUUCAAAUUUUUAUAUAUCAAGUGAAAGGCAACUGAAAGUCAGUUUUACUUUUUUAUCAGUAUUACAAUGUCCUUGCUACAAUUAUGUUAUGAUCAUAGUAAGGUGCGUAUAAAGUUUUAAUAAACUUCAGAACUGAUAAUAAAAUGAAGAUGGGUAACCUACCCGUUUGUAGCCGGACCAUUCCAAGUUAAGCUCAACCCCAUAACCAACAAGACAAUGGAGCGAGCAAGUCCUGUGGAGGGGUUAGCAGGUAAGACCAACAUCAACACAGCUGCAAGUGGAACAGCAGAGCCAGAGCUUAUCUGUGACGAAACUAUCCUUCCAGAGUUUGGAAAAUUUAUUGCGAGAAAAUCCCCGAUCUUUCCUCCCAACAGCCCUCCAAGUGAUGUUCCGACCAUAAACAUGCCCAUGAGUAGUCCAGUUCGUCCAUGUGAGAAUCCGAUGAGCUCCAGCCACAUAGGAGUAAAUGAAAGGGCUGACCAUGGGAAAGAUCCAGUGACACCCUGAGCCACAAUAAUCUGAAAUGAUGGAAUCUUCACCACAGCCUUGGCUUCCUGGAUGAGGCCUUUCACUUCCAUCCAUACAGGCUUGCAUGAAAUAGGCUUGCUUCGUGAACCAACAGUUACUGAAAAAUGGGGAUCUACUGCAAAGAGUCGUACCAGAAUUCCUACCAUCACACUUACCACGCCAACCAGAUGGAAGGCAACUCUCCAACCCGCAAUUCCCAUGAAUGAAUGUGGAGCCAAUAGGAGAGAGAAUAAGCCACCAAGGACAGAACCGAUCAUACCAGUCAGAUGUAGCCAUCCGAAAGCCGAACCACGUGUGCUGUCAUCAGUGGAGUCUGCAACAAGUGACUGAAUGGCCGGCAUGACUAUUGCAAGCCCGAUUCCGUUCAAGGCUCUUGAGAUUGCUACCUGCACAACAGACAAAUUAUUAACUACAUGCAAAACACAUUAGAUCUUUUGUGCAGAUUCAAAGCUUAAUUAAGUUAGAUGGCAAAAACAGAACCAUCACAGGCAUUUAAAACAUUAUAUUGCUUCAUGAAUUCAGAAAAUAUCUCUUACUAUAUUUAAUGGGAACUUUUGAGUGUUUAUCAUUGGCUCAACCGUCUCAUGUGAUGGCAUAUAAGAAAAGAUAAACAUUAAACAAGUAGUUAGAGAGUUUCAAAAAGACAAGCUAUCCAACUGUUAUAAUAAUGGAAGAGGCCCAAGAAAAAAAAUCUAGAUUUAUUAUAGUUCCAAAGGAAAAAAAAUACCACCAACAGAAAUCUAACCCAUGAACUUUUCACAAAGAAGAAUUAAACAUUUCAAAUUGAAAAAAAAGAACCUUGAGAAAGAGAAGUUGAAUUUUUAGGUAAUACAAAUUUUUCCAUGAUAUUGAAGUUUCAACAGCUCAUAAUAUUGAAAAAGCACCAUUUUGAAUCACUAUUUUGACACAUAAGUCCUUCCAACAUGAGCUAGCCAAAUAGUCUAAGAAUCAGAAUCAAGUAAAGCUCCAUCUAAUAAUUCUUAUUUACAAAAGCAGAUUCUAAACAACAGUUAAUUCAAAAUAUUUGUUGUAACAACCUAGGACCUCACCCAAAAUGGCUAGCCAAAAUGUAUUAUUUGGUUCCUUGAUCCUGUAUAAGUACUUAAGAUCUAUCCAACGAAUAACCGAUGUGCGAAUAAACAGCCCAUACGGUCCUCACAUAUUUUUUCCAUUUAAGCUCUGACGUUCUCGUCAGGCUAAAUAUUCAAAUCUAAUCACUAGCACCACGAUCGGUCCGUAGUCAGCCCUAAUGGAUCCGCUCUGAUACCAUUUGCAAUAACCUAGAACCUCAUCCAAAAUAGCUAGCUGGAAGGUAUUAUUUGGAUUUCUUGAUCAUGUAUAAAUAUUCAAGAUCUACUCAGUGAAUAACCGAUGUGGGAAUAAACACACGCCCGCACGGAUCCUCACAUUUAUACCCAAAUGGCAACAAUUAGAGUCACAAGCAUAGGGUUUAUAUUCAUAUACAAAAAAAUGGAAGCCAAAUGUCACACAGCAAUCGCAGUAGUCCACCCAUGUUUAUAACUGUCGUUAACUCCCCAUCAUCCCAAUCUAAUCACCAGCAACAGAAAACAUAAGAACUCACCAAAAACACAGCAAAACCCCAUUCAAAUCCUCAGCAAAUCCCAAUCAUUCAACACUCAAUUCCAUCCAAGAAAAGCAAAAUAUUUCCACACGACACAACAGACCACCGAAAAAAACAAUGCAAGCUUCAAUCUUUCCAGCUAAAACCAAAUCCCAGGCUCAAAUCCAAAAACCCAAAAUCCACUUCUCUCCAUGCACCCGAAAGUUCGAAAACAUGACCGGAUAAAACGCCCUAAAGACAGCAAACUUCAAUGCAAAAGUUGGCAUAGAACGUGAAAAGCACCGACUUUAUGCUGUUCCGGACCUGAAGGAAGGUGUCGGAGAGGGCGACGAGGACUGUGGCGGCAGCCCAGAGGAAACUGCCGAGAGCUAUAACGUGAGCUCUAUUGUACCGGACGGCCAGGUAGGCAGCGAGGGGGUAGCAGGAGGCCUGGACGAGGGACCGGAAGAGGGUGAGGAAGCCUAGGCCCGUCGGAGUGGUGUGCAGCGCAGCCCCCACCUCCUUGUAGACCGCCGGGAGGAGCGCCUCGUCGGCCCUCUCCAUGAUUCCGGCGAGGUUCACCAGCACCAGCGUCCGCCGCUCCUCCCCAAUCGGCCCCAUCUCCUCCUCCACGCCUUGGGAUCGACGGUUAAGAGAGAGAGGAGAGGGAGCAAGCGAAGUUGGACUUCGGCCUCGACUUGAGAUCGGGAUCGCGCCGCGGAAGUGCUGCUAUUAAAAAUUAGAGACGUGGAAGAUGAAAGAAGCACGUGGAGUGUUGACCCUGAAUAAGGACUGAUGAUUUUGAGCCACAGGACAGCAAGUGAGUUUGGUGGGACCAUCUGCAAAGUUACUGACCCAAGAGGUUACUAAUCCACUUUUUAAAGCAAUAUUACAUACUUACGUUAGCCUAGUGGGAGCAUGACCUUAUUUCCAACCAAAUGGUUCCGAGUUGGAAACGCACGGGGGUAACCAAGCUGGGCUCACGGAUGGAGAGAGUACGAGUAAAACCGGCCGAGAUGCCCAACACGGUCAUUUUUGCCCGUAUUAAAUAUUCUUCUGAUGGGGUGGGAGCUGCUACAUGAGAGUGGGCUUGUCCCUUCCUCUUCCUUCCCCUUUUUUUCAGCAAAAAAAAGAAAAAGAAAAUUACACACCUACUUUCCAAGGAAAAAAAUAACACCACUUCAACAUUCAUGACAUACCGAUUGCUAAGAACACCCAACCAAAAGCACACUUCGUGUACCCAACGUGGUUUUCUCCAUGCAUUUCUACUACGAAGGAUUGCUCUUCCUCUUAAGCGUGGAGAGUGCGGAUCAUGUGAUACUCGGAAUGCCUUUCUAAUCUGAAAAGAAUUGAGAGCUCAACAUUUUAAUCAUAGGCAAACUAGUCAAAUCGCAAGUCUAGUUAAAUUUUAACUUAGUUAAAAGGGACUAGGUCAACAAGAGCACAUAUGUCAAAAAGAAAAAAAAUGGCGUAUGAAAAGGUAUGCUAACAAAAAUAAUCCAUGCAAAAUUAGAUAUUUAUAAAGCUAUAUAUGACAAAAGAAAUUACCGAGAAUGCUGCAAAUUGGUUAUAACUCAUAGAUCCUGCCAAGCUGCCUAAUUAUGCACAACCACAUCACAUUGAUACAAAGAGAAAGGUCACAUGAAUUAACUGCUGGAAGUUUUGAUCAGUGCUAUAAGAUUUUUCCAUGAAAGGCUUCUUUUAUGAAAAUAUGGGAGGCAGGGACCUCAGCCAUCCCUGAAAAACAAGGAUCAAGAAUUGCUGGCUCUCAUCAUGUUGCUGAGCCACCCUAUUACCUCCAUGCUCUUGUCCCCAAGCAAGCCUGAAAUGGAGCCAAUCUAAAGCCAAGUUGAGCUCAACUUAUAAAGCGAGUCUGAGGUCAAUUAUAUCUGCUAUCCUUAUCUCUUCUUUCUUUUUAUCAUUUUUUUUUUAUCUCAUUCCAUUUACUAAUUAAAUUUAAAUUGUUCACUUUCUUAACACAAUGCUAACCUAGGUCACUGGGUUCGCUCAUCCUUAUCAAACAGGCCAAUCCAAAUCAUGACUUGUCCAAUCUAGAAAUGAAGGCUUUCCCUCAAUAUGAAACCACCAUCCCAUUCAGCACAUUCUGACGGUUGUCUCAUCACAUUUAACCUGGUUUACAGCCAAGCAGAUUAAACAUGUAUGCAUAGAACUUGACUGCAUAUCUGGAUUUAGAAUGACGAGUAUAAGAAUGAACUCCAGGGGGCCAACAAGACCACCUAAUUUCCAUUCCCGAUCAAAAAGAUCUAAGGAUUCACUGAUUCGUCAAACGUGAAAAUAACAGAUAAUAUUACAAACGAGUCCAGAAAGGUUGCCGGUCGACUUGAAGGUUACUGACAAGAAGGCUUUGGGCAACAUUGGUUGCAAAAGAGAGGCUGUGGAGGAGCUGCUAGAAUUAUAGAACUGAAAUUAAUGCACACCUACAAGAACAAUGCAGAGAUAGGCACCAAAGAUGGACACCCAAGAGAGGGGAAGCAGAGCAUGCUACAUCACAUCCAUAGCAAGCCUCACUGGCUUGUCUUUAGAAAAAGCUGAAUCACGGUUUGGCACCAUCAGUAGCUGAUGAUCUGGUUCCUCAUCGCUCUCACCAACAGUUGACGAUGCCACUGACUCGGACCCAUCUGCUUUUCAAAAUAAAAUGUCACAAACCAACAUCUCUAACUCAUAUAAUGUGAUGUGCUAUACAAAUGUAAGACAUCCUGAUUAUGCUUGAAUUAUAUGAAUUGUCAAUUAAUCAUCCCUGAUACCCCAUGUUCUCUCCUCCUUCCCUCCCAUUUUUUGUGCAAUAAUUUGCCAUUCCCUGUGAGAGGCAAAUCCACAUAGCAUUUCCCAAUACCACUAUACUAGUUAUGAGCUUGAACUCAUUUUUACAAAGAUAACAAGUCUGCUUGUUGGUCGAUGCUUAGUAUGCUAAAAGAUCAUCCACCUGAAUUUCAAGUAGACAAAUUAUAUGCAGCUUAUGAACAGUACCUGACAAUUCGAGAUGCUCUGGUAAAUGUCUGACUGCUGUGAUCUGAAUAGUUUCCGGUAGAAGACAGUUGCAGAAAGAUCCUGAAGUUAAUACAAAUUCAUGUAAAUCGUCAUGAAGAAACUUUAAUUUUAGAGGAUUCUAAAGGAUAGAAACAUAUUUUACGAAAAUACUUGCCUAAUCUUGCAAGACGGUUCACCCAUCCUGGAAUUCGCUUUCCAGUCAAACGGAUACAAACAUCGUCUGUAAAAUGAUUGCAAUUUUUGGCGAUCAAGUGGUAGGAGUCACCAUGAUAUCUUCCAGCAAGGUGUUCAAUGAACAAACGAAACUCUGAAUGGGACAUGUCUGUGGUGCCCAGAAACACAGAACGCCUGAAGAUAAAACCAGGGCAGCUCUUCGGUUCUACCUCGAACACUCCACUGGUCGGGUAUUCAUGAGCUCCAAAUCCAUACUCCAUGCCAUGUACUGUUAUCAAGUUUCAGAAUGGCAUACUUCAGUAAUUGAAACAUAUCUUAAUUAUGUGAAGAUGAAAAAAAAAGACCAAAAGGAAGAUAAAUAUAUAUGAGUGUGGUAGAUAUCGUGUGAAAAUCCAAAAGAAGAUUUCUUAUUUUGCUUCCAUAAAGACACUCAAGAGCUAAGCAUCAAAUUGGACUGCAGCUUGCCUCAGUAGUCACACCCUUUUUCUUAGCAACCAGAGGCUCUGGGCUCAAUUCUAGGAUGGUGAAUCUCCAAAAAACUGGACAUGGGAAAUUGCAGUGCAGGGGGGUCUCUCUCUGUUUCUCUAAAAAAAAAGAGCUAAGCAUCGAAGAGUUUCACCUGAAAACUUAAAGGGCCUUACGUAAUGUCACAUAAUGUUAUAGAUCAUGGGUGAUAAAUAAUUGAUCCAUCAAUUGCACAGCUUCGAGAUAUCUAACUAGUAAAAUAUCUAAAUUAUGUCUAAAAAAGCUGAGUUUCAAACAAUUGUGUAGAUUGAAGCAAUAAGAAAAAUCUGCUCUUUAAUAGGAAGUUGCUAGAACAAGUAUAGAUAUAGGGGGAAAAGGACCCAAAGGAUAUAAAGAUACGAAACAGUAUUCAUUUAAAAAGCUGAUCUUGAAUGGUUUUGCUCCAAUGACCCAAAAGGGCAGCUCCAAUGAAUGGUUGCACCUAUAAAAUCCAUUGACAAGAGAACCAAAAAAUUGUAGAAAUUUUGUAGUUCUAAUUAGUUAUCAAAGAUUUUGGAAGGAUAAACUAAAAACAGUCACAUCAUUUUCCAAAUAUAUGCAUAGCUUACAGCCCUCCUUGGUCACACCUUACAUGGUCAUUUAAAGAGACCUUAUUAUAAGUAAUGGCAGUCGUGAGGCUUCUAAUAGGGUUUAUGCUAGUGCCAGUGACUGGGAUGUUCGCCAGGUGAACAAGGAAACAACAAAAUGUAGGUCCAUACAAAAUUUAGAAGACUAACCCAAUGUCCACCAUAUAUAGAAAGAAACAGGAUCUCUGAUGAAUUAACAUUCAAAACAAAAAUGUGUACAUUUAGCAUGUAUAAAGCAUGUAUAAUAACACUAUUUGGACAAUUAUAAGAUAUUAGAUUCAAAAUGCAAAACUUUAGACCAUGUGCCUAGGUGACAUGAAGAACAAAAUCCACAGUCCUUGAGUCAACUCCAUAGAAACAUCUUUUCCAUUUAUUUUUGGUUUGAAAGGGAGAGUUACCUAUGCUCCAUGAAAAAUUAGAAUCAAAUAUCUCUCUUUUUUAAUAGGUUAUAGAUAACCAUGUCUUGACUACAGGAAAGAUAACAGUAUGAAAAUUAGAAAAAACACUAAAAUGUAUGUACUAAGAUUAAUCCAUGUAAUGGAAUGGGAUAAGCUUAUGUUCAUAGAAGACCGCUGCUAAGACCAAAACUCCGGCAAAUAAAAGAUACCGCACUAAAAUUAUAUAGAAAUAACAGAUUAAUAACAUAGAUCAAUAUAAAUAGAUAAAAUCAUUACAAAAACCGAGAAAAAUAACAGAAGAUAACAAAAAAAAUCAAAGUACCAGUAAGAGAAAACAAACCAAAAUGGUGAAACUAAUGACAUCUGAGUGCACCAGUCACAAAUUUGACAUAAAUUACAAAAGCAAGAUGUGUGUAUAAGUAAAAUAAAUUUUACCCCAAAAAGCAAAAAAAAAGCACGAAUAAGCUCAAAACAUCUCAUCUAUUCUCACAGUAACUAAAGAAAAAGACAGCAAAUUUCUCAUCUACGCUCCUCAUCUUUUGUUGCUAAACCCAUAUAUUUGUGCACUAUUGGGAACAAAAUGGUAAAAUAAUUACCUUAACAAAUGAACUAAAGAUAAUGUAAUAUAGAUAAUAAUGACCAAAUAUUUGUGGAUGGAGUUAGAUGCCCAUAGUCAUAAGUCAAAUGGAUAUUCCCUCCUACAAACCCAAGUUGGGGAACUUGCGGAGCUUACCAGUAUUACCAUACCAAUAAUUUCUCACCAAAAAACAUAAAAGUAAAUGCUGUAUAUCACUAACUGAACCUUUCAUGUAGAUCUGUUUUCAUGUGCAUGAAGCCAAUUUUCAAUGCAUACUGAAGUUUAUUCAAUCAAGAAGCUAUGGUAUUUAUCCAUGACUCAACCUGUAUUUGAAACUAGCAUGGAAACAGUAAAAACUGAAAAUUGCCAAGAUAUUUCAACCUAUCCUUGAUGGGAUAGGAUACAGCACUUCAUGUUUUAUUCCACCAACUGAAAAUGUCACACCGUUUUGUCAGGGAGCACAUAUAGCUACCUAGUUUGGGAUGUCCUGUAGAACUUAAGCAUAAGCUUGAAGUCCCAGUGCUUUCUUUAGUUGUUGAACCACUUGAAAACCUAGAUGCAUAUAACUUUGCAUUACUUCUAUACAAGGUAUACAAAUUGCACAUGCAAACAGAAAUUAUUUAAUUUACUUGUAGUCUUCUUUGCAAUAGAAGUUUUUGAAUAGCAAAACUCAUGGAACCCAAGAUGCAUAAAAAGAUGCAAUUGCUUAAUAUUCUUGCAUUUGGACAUCACAAAGUUUACUGUAUCAAUAUUUCUUAAUAUUUAACAUUUUCUUCUAAUAUAAGGUCCAGAUUCCCCAAACAUCUUUUAUGAAUGAUUCCCAUGCAUGUCAGUUAGCACCUGAAAUGACCUCUAUUGCAUCAAGAAAAGAAAAGCUUCCAAAAAUAACAAUAAUGACACCUUUUAAUCAUCCCUACUGAGACAGACCAUAGUUGUGCUGCUUAUUUGCACAUACUGUAAACAAAUAUUUAUACAUAAUUACAACAUGCAGAGUUCUAUGUAGAAGUUAAUCUCAUAUAAAUAAAAAGGACUACACACUUCCUCAUCAUUUUAUAUGUUGAAGUUUAAUUCAAACAUGGAAUUGCAGUCGCAUAUAAUCAUCACUUAGAUAUAUUCAACACCAUUAUGAAUGCCUUUAAUUGAUUUUGAAACAUUAUAUUAAGAAUAUGAGUGCAUAUUAUCCAUAUUACUACCAAAAUACAUUCCAAAGAAUGAUUUUUACUCUUCUAACCAGAGCAUCAUCAACAAUCCAAAUUAUCUGGAUUGAUCUUACAAAGUAGACCAUCCAAGGCCCCAAUAUAAAAGACACAUCUAAAUUGCUUUGACUACAACCAUGGAUAAGGGUAAGCUUUCUAUUAAAGUUAAUUAUCAUCUUCAGCAUAAUGAAUAUACCAUAUUUACCCUAAAUUUUUAUCUGAUGACCAAAGAUCAAUAGUGAACUUCAUAUAAGAAGUCAAAGUUCUUCAAAAUGCUAUGAAACUUUCUCCUCUCCUACUGAUAAAGACAAGAGAAUCAUUUCUAGUAGAAUUAUAUGAUAUGCCUUAAAACAAUGAUAGGAAAAAUUUCAAUGAAUUCAAAAAACUCCAGAUGUUACAUGAUCCAGAAUUGAAGUGAAUUGUAGAUCAAGAACUUCAUCAAACUUGUAGAUUUAUUCUUGACUGAACCAAGACACAAGGUACCCUCCACAGAUUGAAAAUGUCAACCUCACCAAUUUGUGUAGCACACUAGUCCAAAUGGUUAGGACAUGUGAUGAGUAUGACCAUCUGUCCCUGCUUUGUUGCUACCAAGAAAAUAUUUUUGCGGUAUCUAUAGGUCAUGUUGACACUAUCGAGUCUUUUCUCAAUAGUAUAAUCAUCCCAAACUUACCGCCAAUUUUUAAACUGUUGUUCAUCAACAAUUACUCCACACUUUUAUUUGUAUGAUCCCUAACACUAGUGCCAUAUUAUGACUAAUUUAACUCACCACAAAAGUAUAAACUUAAAUUGGUGACUAUGCAGAAUACAUACCAAUAAGUUUGAUUUUAACUCCACAUGCAAACAAUAAUACAGAUAAAAAGUCACUAGUUUGUUUUAAAUAAAAAGCAUGCAAAGACUCCUUUCAAAGUUCUACAAGAAUAUUAUUUAUAAGAAAAAAAGAGAAUGUUUAAAAAAACUUUCUAAAAAAACUACAUAUUUCAUAUCAAAAAACAGAUAGAUAAAUGAAAAUGGAGGAAAAAAAUGUGUACCCCAUAUGCAAUUAUUGGCUUAGUCAUGCCAAGGAUUAAAAUACCAACCAUGCCAUGCUAUGCCAACAGGGUGCUGUCACUAGGCAUGCACUGCCAUCAUCUGUUCUGUAUUGUAUGGUAUGAAUCCAUGCAAGGCCGUAUCAAGUUGUUCAUAACAGCUUUGGUUAUAUCAAAACAAGUUUUGUAAACAAAAGUUCUUUGUUUUGGCAUGGUGCACUUGUUUGCAUAACACAGCAUGCAACCAACACAUACCAUGCUGGCCACUAGCUGACACACCCAUCAGCACUAGCACUUGAAUCCUUUGAAUUCUGAGCAAAAUUUGUAGAAUAAAAACUGCACAAAAAUCACUUUCCAUUUCUCAUUCUUUUCAUCUCUUAUUUCCAAUAGUAUGAUUUCUGCAAAAAAAUUUCCUGUCCUUCUGUUUCUCAUUUUUCCAUGAUAUAUUGUUUCCCAAGAUGUAUUUUGAUGUCGUAGAAAGUAGAAUCCUAAAAUAAAGUUCCACCUUUGAAUUUAAUUAUUAAAAACUACAGUGGCAUGAAUUGUUGACGUUUAAAUAGGCUACCAUCAACAUAUUACUAGUAACAUGUGGGUUAAUUUAGUAAUUUUAUAUGUUAAGACAUGCUAAAUGCAGAAACGGGACAAGGUCCAAUGCCUUAAUGUUGUGCUUAGGCGAAAAAUAUGUAAAAUCCUUAGGUUGGGUUAAGCCUGAAAAAUAGGGCAAAGUACAUCAAAGAUUCAUACCCUCACUGCCACGACGCCGUAGUUGUUGCCACUCCUAGCACCCCCACCAUCACAAUCACCACAGUGAUCAUUAUCUGCUUCCACCACCAACAUGACCAUUGUAGCUGUUGCCACAGUGCCCAAAACCAUCAUUAAUCCGUAGAGACCAUGCCAUAGCGACAGUCACUAUCCUUAUCACCACUACGACCUUGACUGCUCCACUUCAACUACAGUCAUCACAGAUAUCAUUGUUGUUCUUCAACUACAGUCAUCACAGAUAUCAUUGUUGCUCUCUCUCUCUCUCUCUCUCUCUAUGUUGGAUUCAACCAAAAAAAUAGAAAAUCCAGAAACUCAUUUUCCCCUGCGUUCCUGUUCAUUUUACUCUAGACAGAUUUUUCUUUGCACCUUUCUCUGCAACAAGAAACAACCUUAAAUCUUAUAAUAACUCAACUACCAGGCUAAAACCUACUUUCAUUAGGAAUAGAUUCUCUCAGAUAACAGUUCAUACAUUACCCAUCAUACCAAACCAAGUCGUUAGGUCAAGAACCCUAAACAAAUUCAAGACUAACUUUAAGAAGGAAUGGAACAACACCAUCACAUAACACUUACCAUUCCCCUAUUCCUUUUGCUAUUACUCACACUUUGUCCCCCAAAAAAAAACACUUGCAAAAUGGAGGCCAAAUAACUGCAAUCGCGAUCCAAUUGGACUUCUUAUGCGACUCCGAGCUCAUAAGCAAAUCCCAAAUCCCUCUCAAUUUAAGCAACAUUCUAGUUACGAUAUUAAACAAAAUUAUAUUUGGCACCCCAACCGCAAAACUCAGUAUUUAUUCAAAAAACACAAAAAGAAAGAUAAUGCGGGCGAUCCAAGAAGAAGAAUUCAAUCAGAAUUAUGCGAUAAAAGUGGAAGGGAUUAGGUGAGAAUGGGAAAUGCACCUUCAAUGCCAGAAUGGAAGAUUCCAAGGCCGAACCAGUAGAGAUAGUUGUUGAUUGGGGUGAGAUCGUAGACAUUAAGGUAGAUAUGGGUCCGAUUGCUGCUGCUGCUUCCGCCAUUGGCCUGAUCCCUCAAGGAAGAAGAGGAGCUCGACAAAAGCGAACGCAUGGUGGUGGGAUUCUUCGGAAAUCGAAAGCUUUCCCUAUAAUUCCGAACCCAAAGCCGAUAGAAGCAUCUUAGGAAACCAAUUCGAGGCGAAAUCUAAGAUUUUAGUGGGGGGUGGGCGAGGACGAGCCGCAUUCCGAAAGGGAAACCCUAGAAUUUGGAGAAUUUUCCCAAAACCUGGGACCGGUGGUGGCUUUCUUUUGUUACGACGACGCGUGAACGAGAGAAAUUACCCCUCUAAAGCAACAAUCUUAUAUUUAAUGAAUAAUUUUUACUCCCAUACUACUUGAUUUUCCCUAAAAAAGAAUAAUAUUUGAUUAUAUCACGAAACAUAGUCAUAUCCAAAAAUUAAUUGGAUAAAAAUUCAUGUUAAAAUCUUUUUUACUAAUGGUAUAAGAUUAUGUUUUUAUGAAUUGCCCGAUGAUAAAUGAACAUGUUCACGUGCACAUGAUAAAUGAACAUGCUCUCAUACACAAUUUUAUUAGUACAACUCUCAACUUAAGGAUUUUCUAUGCGGACAUAUAUGUUUAAUGCAAAUCUGAUAUACUUUNNNNNNNNNNNNNNNNNNNNNNNNNNNNNNNNNNNNNNNNNNNNNNNNNNNNNNNNNNNNNNNNNNNNNNNNNNNNNNNNNNNNNNNNNNNNNNNNNNNNNNNNNNNNNNNNNNNNNNNNNNNNNNNNNNNNNNNNNNNNNNNNNNNNNNNNNNNNNNNNNNNNNNNNNNNNNNNNNNNNNNNNNNNNNNNNNNNNNNNNNNNNNNNNNNNNNNNNNNNNNNNNNNNNNNNNGCUUAGUUUGCUAGUGCUUUGGCUAUUUGGCAGUACGGAUACAAAUGAGUUAGGUUGAUCCGUAAUCCGACCCAAUUAAAUUCAAUUCGAUCCAUUUUAUAGGACUCGUGAGACCAUGUUGGAUUCUAAAAUUGGACCCAUUCCAUUUUCAGUGUUGGAACUAGAUUUUCUGGAUUCUGGCCCGAUCCAAUCCGACCUAAUCCGUUUGAAAUUUAGAUAAUUUUGGCUUUCCAACCCUAUGACCUAUUGAAAGCAAAACUUCAUGGUACUCAUGGACACUCGUAUCGUUGUUGUUAUCACUGUCGCCUACCUUUCUUUUCUUCUCUAGACUUUCAGUUUGGAGUGCGUCUGGAAUCGUUGCCAUAUGUCGAAAUGGCCAAGGAAGAUCACAUGUCAAGGCACAGCGUAGUGUUGGAGUGUCCAGGACUCUCCUUUGAUGAACCGAACCCGAACAAACAAACCCAACCCGGACCCAAACUAGACCCAAAUUUUUUUGAGUUGGAAUUGAAUUAUAUAUGGACUCAAUCCGUCCCAAAUAACAAGACAGGCUAAAAAUUGUAGUCGUGAACUCGACCCAACCCGAUCUUUUAUUGGGUUAAAUCUAAGUUUAAAAUUUAGACCCGAACAAGAAACCGAAUUGAGUCAAGAUCACUCAUAAUCCAAUUCGACCUGGCCUAUUUGCACCUGGCAGUGAACUUUUUUUCGUCCAAUAAUUUAAUAGAGUUGAAGGCUGAUAUGUCCUUUGGAGGUCUCUCUAUUUCUUAAAAAAUGAUUUAACAGAAUAUCUCACAAAAGGAUGUGAUUUUUUUUUCCGCCCAAAACCAUUCAGCUUGGACCUCUGUGGCAAUAGAGAAUGGGAAACUAUUGAAACAUAAAAUGGAACCCGCAGCCCGGAAACCACAUUGGCAGGAACAUCAGCAACUCCAUUAGCUUGGCGGAAGAUAUAAGAAGAUUUGAUUUGAAGUCCGGAUGGUCUGAAGUGCCAGGAAAUCCUUUAGGUAAGGAGGAUGAAGACGGUUAUGCUUGGCCACCCAAGAGACCACAGUAGAGGAAUUCUUGCUAAGCAUUGUUCAGUGUGAAUAGCAGCAGUCCAAGCCGGAGUGAGUUCAUCAUGGGGCACUGAUGUAGUUUUAAGAGGCAUAGUACCGGCAGAAAGCAAUCUCCCUUUAUGAUCUGCACACAUCCCGCACCAGAGGAGUCUUUAACAGAGCCAUCAAAAUAGACUUUAAGCUGACCCUGGAGAGGGGGAACCCAAUGGACAUGGAGAGAGGAAAUACAGGUACCAGAGUCAGGUACCUGAUUAAAAUCCCAAACCCGGAGGCUGUUGAAGGCUUUGAUCAUAUUCAAUGGAAUACCGUGACAGGUAAAAUUCCUCAGCUAACAUGACAUCAGUGAUCAAUAUCUGAUUAGAAGUAUGGUUUGAAUUCUGAAAUAUCCCAUGGCUGCAAUCCUUCUGAACAUGGCACAGGCUGCAGCAUAACAUUGUUUUGAGUCUCACCUGUUCAGCAAACAUAGAUUACGGCAUUAAGAUCUGCAUAACUAUGGAUUGAAAACCCUAGUAAAAACGCAAUUUGGCUUUAGAUUGUUUUACAAAGAUGGUGGAUAAGUAUAAUUUAUUUUUCGACAGGUAAUUGGCUUCCAAUGAUUGAAAGGAAGUGGAGGCUCUCGGGUUAGACUGGUUGAACUCCAAUAUAUUGCCACAUCAAUUGAAUGAAUUUCUGGAACAAAAGACUGGACCCCAGCAGACAUUGCUCAUCAUAAUUUUAGUGGCUUAGAUGUAACUGACUACAACAUUUACCCACAACAACAGUUGUUGCAUUUGAAGCGGGCAGAUAACAUUGACAUGAAGCACACCAGUUCACAAUGUUCCAUCCGAAGAAAGCAGAAUCCACAAACCACAGGCUUCAGAUUAGCUUUACAUUAACUGUUUCUUUAUACUCCUCUUACACACAUCAGCAAUGCAUUUGGCUACAACUCUGAAUGGUCCCAUGCGUCAAACUUUUAGAAAUGGAUUUUUCCUUCCAGCUGUACUGUCAAUGAUAAGUCAUAACUCUGUCUAUCCUAUGAAGACACCUUAAUUUUCGACAGAGGCAACAUUCUGGACCUCAUUGUAUGCACCAGUUUGCUCAUCAAAAGAAUACCUGCAUGAAAAGUGGCCAUUUAUAUUUAAUCAGAUACCAUCCUCCAUUCAUGCACAAGUACGAAUUCUAUCUCGUUGUUACCAAGGUUUAUACAUGCAUAUAGUAGUAGUGCUUCUUGCAUCAACAAAAAAGCUCCAAAAUAAUGGUGGAAAAACACGUUACCAGUGUAACCAACCUUCAAAAUUAUCAGAAACUAAAGCCAGAAAUCUUAUGUUGUAACCAAAAAUAUAUCUUUAGUACAUUCAUACCUAACAGUCACCAGAAUUCCUAUUCCCAUGCCACAUAACAGUGCAACAACUAAUAUUGCUUCUCCUGCUUAGAACCCAACCCAAACAUUGAAAUAGUCAUCUGACAAGUAGCAGAGGAAAUGAGAUUCUACACCCUCACCUUGGAAAUUAUCAGAAACUAAAGCUGGAAAUCUAAUGUUGUAACCAAACACAUAUCUUCAGUAUAUUCAUACUUAUCAGGGACCAGAAUUCCUAGUCCCCUAUCACAUAAGAGUGCAACAAGGAAAAGUAAAAUUGCUUCUCCUGCUUACAAACCCAGCCGAAACAAUGAAAUGGUUAUCUCACAAGCAGCAGAAGAAAUGAGAUUCUACACCUGAGGGUUCAUAAAUGCUACCAUAGAUUGGGCAAAUGUUACAAAACCAGUCAUCAAAAUUAUGCAAAUCAACUGUAGAACAUUUAUCAAGAAAAAUUCAAUGGUAAAAGGAUCACUAUACCAACCUAUUCAAUAUCAAGAAUCUAGAGAUCACUGCUUUCAUAAAAAAGUAACACAUACAAGGUACUCAACCCUCCCUGGUAGUAGUGAAGUGUUAUCUAUGCUGCAUACUACUUCCUCAAUAAAAAAGACAAAAAAUGAAAACAAAAUAUUUAAUCAAACCAAACAUUAGAAAAACCAAGCUUCCAAUGUUUCCAUCUGCAGAAAACUUAUUGAUAACACAUUAGUAAAAGUUCACAUUGUAAAUACUUACACAUUCAUCCGUAAUAAAAGAACUAUCAAAAGAAUGCCUUCCCACAACAUGCCCUCACUCCAAUGAAAUAAAUAUACAAUAACAACUACAGAGAGAGAGAGAGAAUCUUCACUUCACAUUACCAGGUUAGUCAUUGACUUUGCCUUCAUAGGUCUAAAAAAAGAAAACAAACAAAGAAAGAAAGAACGAAAGAAAGAAAGAAAGAAAACACCAAAGUCUACUUUGUUCAUCACAUUUCUCAAAUUCAUAGAACUAAUUGGCAGCUGUCAAACAUAUUCCUCACUUUGAAAACUCUAAAUAAUAACCAUAAAUUAUAAAAUGAAACUCAUCUGCUCUUGCAGCACAAAGCCCCUCCUUCCUUCCUUCGAAAUUCUAAAGUAGAAAACUAUCCACCACCACAUCAAAACACCUGACCAGAAUAGUCUGAUCCCCCAAUCAAUACACAAAGUGAAACCAUCAUACAGAAGAACAUCUUUGGAAGGAGGAUGAUAUGACCUUAAGUUUUACAAAUUUACAAGCAAACUCUGCCAUUAUCAUCUCUAGCUAAUCAUUGAGGUCAGACUUUUUGCUUCCACAUUACUCCCAAUACACACCAUCAUUUAUACCACAUUUUCCACUGAUGGAAAGUACUCAUCUUUGAAUUGGAAACAGUGUCUUGACAAUUUUCCUUCAUGCAGGAAUACAUGCCCAACAUGUUUUCACCUUAAUGUACAUUAACAUCCCUACAAUAUUUAUUUCCUCUAACUUUUAUCCAUCACAAGCCUCCUCUGGUAGACAUGAGACCACCGGAUGCAGCAUUCUCUUGCUGACGAAAACAAAUCAACCCCAAAUUGGCAAACUAUUUCUUUUUUCACUCAAAAAAGAAAAGGUUGACAAUCUUCUUACCUUACACAAGAUUGAAUCUCCUACAAUCGUUACAAGGCAACUUGUAUAGCUCUUCCAAAGGAUGUAAAUCACAUUAACCAAAACAGCAAAAACUCCUGAUAUCUUGUAACAUCAAUUCUUUGUAGGGGUUCCCAGAGGAUAAGAAGCACCUUUAAUUAUUGAAAAUUUUUGUGUCUUGCCCUCAUUUAAGAAAUUCAAUUAUGUAAGGAUCCAUAAGAAGAGCAAGAAAUGUUCCAUAUCAAUGAUAAGAAUAACCGAUUACCAGUACCACAAAUAUAUUAGCUUCAUUGCUGAAGACUAUCUUGUAUCCAGAGGGGCCUUAAGUUUUGGGGAUGCCAAACAUUUGGUUCUGGUAACAAAAGGUUAUCAAAUAAAAACAUCUCCCUCUCAAAAAACCAAAUACGAUCAAGGAAUGCAAGAUUCAGGCACGUGACUAAAAAUCAUUUGAGAUAUACCUUCAGAUCUGAACAUGUUAUAGGACAAUAGUUUUAACAACAUUCAAUUCAAACCUAGAAUCAAGUGUGGAUUCUAAUAAAUAUUUUUUCUCAUUUAAAUUUUGGAUAUGAAAAUAUGAUAAUAAAAAUUAAAAUAUUCCCCUAAUAUCUGGUCGGAUUUUCAUAGAAUAUAGAUAUAGAACUAGUAAUGACUUGAAUUCAAUUAUGGAAUUUAGAUAUAAUUGGACUUCAGACCUAGACAUUGGCCUCUGACCAAACGCUGAUAAUCCUACUUAUCAGUUCCAAAAUCACUUCUAAAAUAUGUUUUAGAUCUAUCAGCAUGUAUAAUUCCAUCUCUUUCCUCCACAACAGAAUCUUCGUUAUGUGUUUCUAGAUUUAUCUGAUUCAAACAACAGACACGUGAAUUCUAUGGUGGCAAUUACAUUAGAAACUGGAUGUUCAGUAGCAACGUCUUUGCCUAGAAAAUCCUACUUUACUAUAUGACGCUUGUUCCCUGCUCAUUCUUUCACUCUAUAUUAUUGUUUCAGUGAUGAAUAUCCUCUCAGCUCUGAACAUUUACUUCUUAAGCUUUAUCCUUACCCUGAAACCUAGAAUGUGAUAGUUUAAUCUUGGAUAUCUAGCAAUAUCCUGUACUCCACCACAAUAGAUAAAAAUCGUAUGUGCUACGAGUUCUAAUCUCAAACCAGAUGAUGUGAUCUAAUGAUGCACACUAGAUAUAUAUGGUACCCUGAUGGAAGAUGUGGUGCCUUCGGUGGAAAAGGAUUCGGAGGCAAUUCUUAUGUUUAUUGAGGGAAAUUCACUGAUAGUUUGGUUGGAAAAGUAAGUGCUGAGCAAAGAACACAGAAUUUGGGAAGGGGAGUUUCACUUUUGAAUUACUUGAGUUAGCAAGGGUGGAUGUACAAAGGAUUUGACCUAAAAUCCGUACGGUCUGCCUUCUCCCUUAAGCACAUGCACUCCUGCACACACAAAAAAAAAGGGUCUAAAGUACCUUUAAUUUCUAAGAACAUGGUAAUUUUUGCAAUCAUAAUAUGUCACAUGCCCGCUAAAAUGUUGAGGAAGAUUCCGAUGGCAAUUUCAAACUUGUGGAGACCCAGGAAGUUAAUGCAAUUCCAGAGUCAAGGAAGUUUGCGAUCAUAAGUAUGUUAGAUACCUGCUAAAAAGUCAAGGAAUUCCAAUGGGAAUGUCAAAACAUUGAGGAGAUCCAGGAAGUUAAUGCGAUCUCAAACUAAUAUGAAGUCUCAAAACAACUACACUUGCAAACGCACUCUACACAUGUUCUGACAUAACAACAUAUAAUAUCAGAACCAUCAUCAGCAAUUCAGGAUUCCAGUCAACCAGAUCUAUAGCAUAAGUUGAUCAGGCAGCUAUAUGCCAAGGAUUACUUAGUUAAAAGCUUAUUCUUAUGCCCAAGAACAUCUGCAGCAGCCCCAAUGGACUUCACCACUGCAUCUUGUAGGAUUCAUCCAACUCAUAGGCAUCGGAUACAGUUGAAACAACUGCAAUCAAUAAUUCCUCUUCACUAUUAUUGCAAAGAAAGAGCUUGACUUUAAUUUACAACAAAAUAAACAGCUAAUAUUAAUUUCUCACACCCACAUGCAAUUGAUAAUCAAUUUGAAAACUACCAAAGGCUAGCAAGCAAGGCUACUAGUGAACCCAUAAAAUAAGCCUGAAAAGAUAAGAUAAGAGGUGAAAUAUCAUUACCAUGUUCCUGAUGCAGCACAGCAAUACAGUCCUGAUGCAGGGUCAUAAUAAUAGCCCAAGCUGCUGCUAUAGUAAUAGCUGAGGUAAACAAGAACAGUAAUUUUUUAAUUCAGUCCAAUAGCACCAUGCUAACAGAAAAUGUGUAUCCAUAACUACAAGCACAAGGUAAGAGGAUUAUUGCAAACACACAAUACACUCACACACAACAUGAAGUUGCAGCUUUUUAGAUGUCAACCAGCAUAACACGAUGAAAUAGUUCAUAGUAACCCAAGAAACAUAGCAGCUCUAAGAUUCCUAGUAAACUGCAUAAAAUGUUGAUUCUGCUAGCACAAGACCAUGGUUUGAAACUACAUAAAGAGAUAAUUAGUUAAAAUAAUUAAUAUCUUUCUCGACUCUAAGAACUGAACAGGUAUAGACCAGCAUUACCUGGACACAGACAAGAAUAGGAUUCAGACACAUCCAAGUGUCUGAUUUGGUAAAUAGGAAAAAGGAAACAAUGUAAGACAUUGGUAAAAGCAAGGUUCGCUGUACCGGUCGGUACCGGUCGGUACCGAGCGUACCGUACCUGUACCGAUGGAUACCGGUAUCGGUACACCAAUAUCGGUACGGUCGGUACCGAGCGCACCGUACCGUACCGACACUCGGUAUGCCUCUACUAGUGUGGCACCGGUACGGGGUUCGGUACCGGUACGGCGAACCUUGGGUACAAGAAUUUUCAGCAAAAUUAUAUUCAUUCAAUAUCUUUAAAAUAUUGUAUAGUUGAAAACUAUAAAAAAUAUUAAAAGAUAUCGUCCUUUUUUUAAAAAUAAUACAUUGUACAAGUAUUUCAUUCAAAUUCCAAAAUUAGCUCAAGAAUACAAAAAAACAUACAACUCGCAAAGUUAUUCAACACUUACACCCUCAACCAUAUUUUAGAAACAACAAAAGCUUACCCUCCACAUGAUUAUGGUUGGUCAAACUCACUGUCAGAAAGGGUAACUCUCUCUUGAUCUCAAAGAAUGUAACCAAAGAAUUAGUUAAGUACCUAAGACUCUGACACAAUGAUUCAAGUACUUGUGCAUACCAGUCCAUACCAGUUAUAUUGGAAAAUUUAACUCAUUUUUUGUCGUGCCAAUAAAUGGAGAAAUACCAUGGUACAACAAAAUCGUACUUCAUAGUAAGGUGCCGAUACUCUAAACCUUUCUUAGACAUGCAUCCAAUUUAUGCAUAUGUAUUCAACACAAAAUCUUCAAGGUGAAUGCCAAGAGUUUAUAUAACAAGGGACGAGUAAUGAAAGCCCAAAAUGUGUGGAUAAGUUGCUCCUAACAUGCUCAUGAAGCAUGGAAAUGGAAACAAGAUAUAAACAAAACAUAAUCAAAAAAAAAAAAACUACCUAUAUGGCAAAUCUUAAAAAGAUGGGACAUAGAUGAAGUCGUAACAUGCAUUCACAUGUGCUUUUUCUUUUUCCUUCGUUCUUUUUAGAGAGGCAGAAGAGCUUCGUUUGACUGCCACUAAUUCCCACUCAAGGCCCAUAAAUUGUUUGUCAAAUUGUUACUCACUGGUUUGACUAUAUAUAUGCAUUUGCGCUUGGUUUACACUUAUCCUUGUUUUUACAAAGUCUAGAGUCUAUAAAUUAAAAUUCUACUUAAACUAAAGAUCAGUUGUAAUAAUUUUUGUUCUAUGGGCCCUGGUCAUUAAAUUGCAGCCCAACAAUAUGUAGGCAAUUAGUUUCUCACAAGGUUCAUUGAACCAGUAUCAUGACCCGCACCCGUCGGCGACCUGUACGGUAUGGUACAGGUCCACAUCGUGUCAUGCCGGAGUGUGCUGAAACACGGAGGGAGAGAGAGUGGGAGGGUGUGAACAAGGAGAGAGAGCAAGAGACUCACUAGAUGAGGGCUUCAACAGGGAUGAGUAACAAGGGCUUACAUGAAGAGGAGGAGAGGGAGAAGGAGAGGAAGGGAGGGAUGGAAGGAGGAAGGGAUUAUACUCUAGCCCUAGCGGAGCAAGAGAAAGGGGGGGAGACUUACCGGUGACGNNNNNNNNNNNNNNNNNNNNNNNNNNNNNNNNNNNNNNNNNNNNNNNNNNNNNNNNNNNNNNNNNNNNNNNNNNNNNNNNNNNNNNNNNNNNNNNNNNNNNNNNNNNNNNNNNNNNNNNNNNNNNNNNNNNNNNNNNNNNNNNNNNNNNNNNNNNNNNNNNNNNNNNNNNNNNNNNNNNNNNNNNNNNNNNNNNNNNNNNNNNNNNNNNNNNNNNNNNNNNNNNNNNNNNNNNNNNNNNNNNNNNNNNNNNNNNNNNNNNNNNNNNNNNNNNNNNNNNNNNNNNNNNNNNNNNNNNNNNNNNNNNNNNNNNNNNNNNNNNNNNNNNNNNNNNNNNNNNNNNNNNNNNNNNNNNNNNNNNNNNNNNNNNNNNNNNNNNNNNNNNNNNNNNNNNNNNNNNNNNNNNNNNNNNNNNNNNNNNNNNNNNNNNNNNNNNNNNNNNNNNNNNNNNNNNNNNNNNNNNNNNNNNNNNNNNNNNNNNNNNNNNNNNNNNNNNNNNNNNNNNNNNNNNNNNNNNNNNNNNNNNNNNNNNNNNNNNNNNNNNNNNNNNNNNNNNNNNNNNNNNNNNNNNNNNNNNNNNNNNNNNNNNNNNNNNNNNNNNNNNNNNNNNNNNNNNUCUCUCUCUCUCUCUCUCUCUCUCUCUCUCUCUCUCUCUAUAUAUAUAUAUAUAUAUAUAUAUAUAUAUAUAUAUACAUACAUAUAUAUGCAUAUAUGCAUGUAUGCAUGUAUGUAUAUGUAUAUGGAUAUAUACAUGUAUAUGUAUAAACAUAUAUGUAUGUAUGUAAACCAUGUUGCAUAUGACAAACAUAAACUUCUAUACAACUUAUUAGACAUUCUCUAAUAGCAAUUCAUGACAGCUAGGAUCACAUGAGCAUAUCUCUAAUUUAUUCAUCAAGAAAGAAACCAUCAUUUCAUACCAAAAGUUCAAACUUACAAAGAUGCAGGAAGAAAUGAUGCAAACAUGUUAAGAUGUUUAGAUCACCCAUCCUACUCAUAGUACUAUUUUUUUAAAUAUAGAAACAUAGAAAAUGUAUCCAGCAUAUAAUUCAUGGAAUCUGAGGUGUAUUUACGUAUGAUACAUGGAUACUUCCAUUAGGGGUGUAAUUGAGCAGAGUUUGAUCGAGCCUGGGUCUAAUCAAGAUUGGGGUGAAAUUAAUUUUGAGCUAGAAAGCUGAGACCAAGUUCAAUUUGUUUACCACUAUUUCGAGCCCAAUUCGAGCUUAAUUUCGAAUUGAGCCAAAGAAAAGCCUAAUUGAUCAGCUUGAAAAUCCUAAAAUCGAAUCAGAAAUCAAUUCAAGCUUGAACUAAGCUUGGCCUGGACUAGAAGCUUGAUUUUGACGAUGCCUAUCUUCUUCUUGGAAGUACUUCCCUCGUUAUACAAUGGCUCCCCAUUCAAGGCUGAAUUAAAGCUUAAUUCAAUCUUGGUUCAAAUCUGAAUAACAUUUAAUAAUAAAAAUGAAUUAAAUGUUCAAGCUUGAAAUGACUCUAAUAUUGUAGACCAUUGGACCCAAGAUCCAACAACCACUAUACACAUACACAACCGUUCAAGCUUGAAUUAAAGCUUGAUUCAAGCUCGGUUCAAAUCUAAAUUAACAUUUGAUGGAUUUCAAAAUUAAAUAAACACUCAAGCUUGAAAUGACCCUAAUAUUGUAGGCCUUUGGACCUAAAAUCCAAUGACCACUAAAUACAUAUAUUUCAAGUCCACAUAAGCUAGACCUAUUCAGCCAGAGUCUCUUUUGGCUCGGCUUGAAAUUCAUUUUAAGCCUAGAUGCUGGUUCAAGCUUGGUUUAUGUAGCUUCAAGCUGAGCCUGAACUAAGCUUUUUCCAAGCUGAGCCCGAGCCAAGCUUGACCUAUUCAGAUCACUUGUCACCCAUAUCUCCUCAAAGGCGCUAUUAGAGCUUUAGAGUAACACAUGUUUUUCAUAAAUUGAUCCUAAGAUCCAUGGUCCCAACCAAAUGCUCGUCAAAGGAAACCUUACAACCAUCUCUACUUGCAGCAGGUCAUAGAAGUUUUUUCAAAAGAACAUUAGAUUGAUUUUCUUCAAAAUAUUACAAAUGCAAUGCAGUGAGCUUCUUAAAAUUCAGUCAACAUAAGUCCAUUUGUGACAACCAAGUACAUAAACUAAAAGGCUAUCCCAUUAAAGUGUACGUACUCAUAUAAGAUGCUCUUCAAUAGAAUAUACGCAUGAGACUCAUAUUCAAAUGUCAGAGCAUAAAAAUUUCUUCAGAUAUGUUUUAGAUUCCAAAUUCUCAGUUAGUAUUUUUCUAGAAUCAUGCAUAAUAAAGAAUGUUCAAAUACAGCUACACAUGAGGAUGUUAGUCUGAUUCAAUCAAUGGAGAAAACAUUUGUUAGGGAUGAAACAAUGCUUCUUGCAACAAUUAACUUGACAUCACCUCAGCACGUGAUAAGUAGCAUGGCCUUUCAUAUUCUAUAUUUGAAUAAAACAACUUUGUCAUGAAUGUAAAACAACCUUUGGGAGGUGGACUUUGCCUUUCGCUUAGCCAAUUCUAAUGGCCCUUCAUACAUUAUAUAUUUCUUCUUUUCAAUUGUCAGGAUCCAACAGUAAUCUUCUGCAUUCUUUAAUUUUAGUCUUCUACAUUACAGUGAUUUCCAGACAGAGGUAUUUCUAUUUAAUCAUGAGAGUAUUACCUGCAUUCUUUAAACUGUAACUUCUACAUUAUACUGAUUGCUACACAAAAGUAUCUUUUAUUGAAUCAACAGAACAUACUUAGUAAUAAAAUUUGAAUUAAGAAUCCCAUAAGAGAACAGUGGAUGGAUCAAUUACUCACCCAGAUGAUGGAUCAUAUACAUAAUCUGACCUCAGUCCUCCAUCAGCAGCUUCUACAGAAUCAGACAAAAUUCAAUUAAGAAUCAUCCAAUGGAAAUUAACUGUUUUACUCAAAGUAGAUGAAAGCCAGACAAGAAAUUAUCAGUAACCAGUUUAACUCCUUCUUGGCAAGAAAUUACCUGCAGAAUCUAAGUCAUUUGAAUCUAAGCUUCCAGAAGUGGGUUGAAGAACUGGUUCAGAAGUAGAACCUGAACCCACAGCACUGCCAUCAAACCGAAGAUUUUCAUCACCAUUCUCAUCAUCGUCCGCAAACAUGUCAAAUUUGUCACCGGCAUCAUUAGAUGAGACUAGUAGAGUAGAGGCAUUUGCUUCAGAAGGACCAGGCUCCAUGUCCCAUAUCAAAGAAUUGUGUGUUGCAUGUCCCAUACCAUCCGAAAAAAUAUCUUCCCUGUUCUUGGCAUCAGAAUUUCCAAUAUCUGCGCUUUCUAAAGUACCAUUCUUUGCACGAGCUACGCGCUCAUAUCCUUCUGAAGCAAGAGAAAUGAAGGCACAGUUGCAACAAAAGACGAGAACAAUGCAUCUUCUAACAAUGAAAAAGCCUCCUGUUUAGCCCUAAUGCUUAUGUAAGGCAACACCCCUUGGGAUAUUCAUCAUAAAAAUCACCAAGGAUACAACAUGGCCAAGCCAGUGAUCUGAACUACAACUUUUCAAAGAUUCCAAGAAGAAUAGCCAUCUAACAUGGUCAGGACUACAUCAUUAACAAAUGCAUAAAAAGUAAUAGAACUGACUAUAAAUGAUACUGACGGAAACUAAAGAAACCAGCAAAUGAAGAGAAUCAAAUUACAACAAAUAAUGAUAAACCUGAAAAUAUCAUUUAAUCUUAACAAUAUAACUCAUGUUUUUGGUAAAGUUCUAUAAGUGUGACACAUCACAAAGGAUCUGCCACAGAAGAGGCAUGAAUACUGCAACACACGGAAUAAACUAUCAGCAAAUCAAUCAAUCACAAUUUGUCUUAGUAAGUUCUGUACGUAACUAACCUUCUCUCAUAUAGAUUUCUCAUAAGCUACAAUUUAUUAGCUAGGAGUUAGUAACAUAGUUUCCGAACGUGUUUCAUAUGCAAAAGAAUUUCUCUUGAAGACUGUUGGGAAAACAGUUAGAUUUUUUAAAAAGAUGAUAAAAGAAGCAUCACACGGAUAGCAUUCCCAAUAGUUACCUAUUAGUUUUCUCAUGACUUUUGAGCAUUACCAUAUGCCUUUGUCAUGAAUUUUACUUUAGCAUUACUCAUUUCCCGAUUUGGACACUUGUUUCGUGCUACCCAUUUGCACAGUGUUUCCCAAGUUGUUUGAGAAGGUAGCAUUAAUGACCAGAGCUACCAGUAACAUUCUCAGCCAAGUAUAGUAGUUGCCGAAAUUUUGCAUAUGCAACAAAAUGAACUAUUUAUUAUUUUAUUUGGAAGGAACAGUUGAAGUACUUACCUUUUAGAAAAGUCAUAAACUCAUUCAGAACAAUGAUUGAUUGUUACGAACAGGGUAAGAAAGCAGCAUGCUUCUAACGUGACAUUUGUUCAGUGCUGGAGCAUCAUAGUCGCAAUGUUGCAAUGAUAGCACCAAUCUAAACUACAAUAUAGGAGUAGUAUCGAUGAAGAGGAUCCAUAGACUACUCUUUAUUAGCCAUGUCCCAUUAUCGAUCUGGCAAAGGAAGCACAUACUCAGGAAGAAGGAAUCAAAAUUCCUUUGAUGAUAAAGUUUGGAUUUGACAAAAAAUUAGACACUUUGGAAGGCAAUGAGCAAAGGCACAUGAAGUCAAACAGCAGGAACAGUUCAGGAUUGGACAGAGAGGAAGACUAGCUUUACAUUAAGACACGGAGCAUGAUAAAGGACAUGGGAGGGGGAAAAUACUGUGUAACAUAAUGAAGGUUGUGCCAUAGAAGCCUUAGUGAUCCAGUGAGACAAUACUAUUUAGAAUUCUCUUAAGGAACUUAUGCUAUUUACCUGGCAUUCAAGUAACUAAAUACUCUUGAGACUUGAAGCAUGAUAAGACUGGGGCUCAUGGUGGAAACUAUUUUUAUUGUUUAGUAAGGCUUUUGACGUACAUUAGAAAGGAAGGCCUCUACCACUUAAAAUGAAUGGCAUGGAUAAUGAAUUUUAGGAGUGCAAAAAUCAUCGUACCAGCUCAAGAGUAAGAGAGUUAUUAAUGUUGCAAGGAACCAAGAUAAAUUGGUAGCGAGGGGUGAUUAGGAGUUUAGCAAGGACAUUUAGUAGAUGAUUGUAAAAACAGCCUGACAUCCUCGAGCCAUUAGCAGAAUUAUGCAGUUAAAUAAGCUACUAAAUAGUUAAACAGUAAGAAAACCAUAUUCACAUUAAAAAUUAAAUUUUGUGCAAGAAAUACUAGAUGGAUGAAGGUUUCAUCUUUACCAAGCCAUUAGAGUCUCUUUGAGGUUCUAUCAUAGACCUACGUUCCAAUCCCCCUUCGGCAAGGUUUGAAGAGUUUAGGUUAUUUGGGCGAGGGAUACUCCCAGUUAUGUAGCCCAUUGCCUAUGCCCAAGGGUUCAAGAGAAUAUUAAACCUUUCGGACCAGAGUUGUGAAAAGGAUAAAGGUGACAUCUUGAUGAUAAUAAGAAAUGGAAGAAGGUUUUCAACCUACUCUUAGGACUUAGAAUUUUCUGGUUAUUGGUUUUUUUUGGUCUUGCAAUAUUUGUCGGUUAUUGGCUUUUAUUGGUCUUCCAAUAUCAAGUAGUGCGACAUAGGGCUUAGAAUUUUUUUCAUCAAAUAUAAUCAGGUUUACUCUUAUUUAUUAACAGGUGAGAAGAAAGAAAAGUAGAAGAUUAUAGAGUACAAAGGGAAAAAUAAGAUAAAAUAAGAACUAAAGAAAGAAUUAGAGAUUAGGACAAGAAAUCCAAACCUCGCCUUUUUUUCCCUCCUUCCUCAAUUAAAAUAAAUCAAAAAUCUUCACAGUUCAACAUUCCACAUGGAUUCUAUUUAUACAGAUAACUCCCUUCUUAUCUAUGAUGUCUCAGGAUUUUCUCAAUAUAAUUUUUCCCCGGAAUAGACCUCUAAUCAACCUGAACUCCAUCAUAUCCAAGGCUUUUCAAAUAAUAACCAAAUAAAUGCAAGAAAAAAACUAUUAUUCGGGAGACCAAAGAAGAAUAAAAACCACUUACACAUCUCCUAAAACCUCUCCUUAAAGACUUAAGAGCUAGAGAGCAACUAAGAUACUUAUGUUACAUCGAUGUUUUGAGCUGCUAGAUGAGACCCCAAAGUAACCCAAUUGCUUGCCACUUCUGAAAGCUGAGCCCAUUAUUGAUUUCAACAAGAAUUCUAGUGCUUCUGGAGUUUAUUCUAGCACCCACUGCAUUCUCCCUUAAACCUUAGAAGCUGAUCUUCAGCUAUUGCUGUAUCACAUACCUAUGGAAAGCCAUUCUUCUCAGCAAUUAAGUGGUUAUUUUAGUGUGUAUGAAUGAUAAUUUUUCAGUUAUCCAUGCCCUAAAAGAAUAGGCAUCAAACAAAUAACUAUCAAGUGUGUUGCAUAGAGCAUCAGAUCCUAUGCGUAUUCCAGUAAAUUGAAAGCUUACCAUGUAUCACACACAUUAGCAUUACAACUUUAUCACUAUUUUGUACAUCAAACAAUUUUGAGGGUGGGCCAUGGUGCAAUGCUAAGGUUUGCUCCAUUGUGACCUUUGUGGUGUCACAAGUACAAAACAUGGAACAACCUCUUCACAGGCGGAGAUAAGAAUGCAUACAUCUGACCCUCCCUAGGCCCAAUAGUGAUGGGAGCCCCCUAGGAUGCCCUUUUUCUGUACAUCAAACAAUUAAAAAGAGUGAACUGCCAUUAGAUGUAAAAGCAAAUAUUGCUUAGACAACCCAACACAACUUGGGCAUUUAACCAACCAUUAUUCAAUAAUAUUCAGGAACAUAGUUAAUUGAUUUUUUUUUAACCAAAAGGAUAGGUAGGCUUUGUUGGCUUUUAGCAUCGAGAAUUAUUUUCAAAUUCCUAAAGAACAUAAUUUAGAGAUCUCUCAUUGAUUAGAAGCAAAUUUACUAUUUAAAAAUCUGGGGCCCUAGCUUGACAAAGCUUGACUAUUAUGCCAUAACAACAAUUAGAAGCCAACCCUAGUGCCAACUUAGCCCUCUCUUAAUUUUCUAGGAAUUUAUCCAAAGGUUAUCGUCCUUUCUCUUUGUGAUAGCCUGAUUCGGGCCUGGUCCACUUGUCCAGCCCAGCCCAAAGUUGGCCCAGCCCAAGACCCCAGGACAAAAAAAGGCAACAAAUUGGAACAGGUGAUCGCGAUCCCUUGCCCGAACGGCCACCAUUAAGGUGCAGCAGGGGAAGUUGAAGCUGGCACGAAACCCUCAGGGCUAGUACUAACGACUAGCGACCGUUAGAGGUUGUUGCAACCGGUGCAUGCCCGACCGUUGCCAUCAUUCAACCGAGCUCAUCCCCUCUCCCGCGGCUUCUAUAUAAGCCCCUCCCCUUUGAUUGAUCCCUCACCACUCACCUCCUUCCUCUUUGGUGACCAGCGUGCCACCUCGAACAAGCACCGCCACCUGAAGCCCUCCAUUCUCCCUCUAGUUCGGGUACCCUAUUUGGAGAACCAUUCCUCCUCUCACCUGGUUCCGCCAGAAAAUGCCACGCUGACCGUGAGUCGCCAUCCGCGUCCCUCGCCAAUGAGUCCCCAUCCUCCGUCAAAGCUCCCUCGGGUUGUGUGGGCUGCCACUGAGGUAGCUGCAGGGCGAUGCCCCUUUUCUUGUUUUGGUCAAGCAUAGCCAUCACUGCUUGCUCUCCGUUGCUGCCUCCGGCUACCACCCGUUGGAUCUCCACCACAACAGCCACCAUGAACCACCCUCUCAUCCUUCCCCCGAUUAUCACGAAAAGAAAAAGGAAAGAGGAAGAAGAAGAGGAGGAGAGAGAAAACCCAUCCCUCUCUUUCUCUCUCUAUUGGUUCUUCUCUCUUCUCUCUUUAAUCUUCCUAUUUCUCUCUCUAAAAGACUGGAACCCCAGUAAGAGAGGUCCCAUCCUUGGUUCAACCUUUCUCUCUCUACUUGAUUUGUAGAUUCUAAACCGAUUUACCCAGUCAGCCUACUCGAGUCCAUUUCGGAUUACUUAGGGCUUUUUAAUUUGUACUUGGAUUUUCAAAUAGUGAAUAAAAAGUAAUUGAUUCUUCUUAAACAAUUUUGAUAGGUACAGCAGAUUUGCCCAACUGAACCUAGUAAUUUUUGGGCGAAUAGAGGUAAGUGACCCUGGCACAAACCUUAUUAAUUUCAAAUUAUCGAUCAGUUUUAAGUAUGAAAUUAUGAAUUAUAUUUGACAUAAU
rnacentral:lncRNA from 1 species